GGAGGGGUGGCCGAGUGGUCGAAGGCGCACGCCUGGAAAGUGUGUAUACGCCUAAAGCGUAUCGUGGGUUCGAAUCCCACCCCCUCCGCCA
rnacentral:tRNA from 1 species